GACGAACGCUGGCGGCGUGCUUAACACAUGCAAGUCGAACGGAAAGGCCCUGCUUGCAGGGUACUCGAGUGGCGAACGGGUGAGUAACACGUGGGUGAUCUGCCCUGCACUUCGGGAUAAGCCUGGGAAACUGGGUCUAAUACCGGAUAGGAGCCAUUUUUAGUGUGAUGGUUGGAAAGUUUUUUCGGUGUAGGAUGAGCUCGCGGCCUAUCAGCUUGUUGGUGGGGUAAUGGCCUACCAAGGCGGCGACGGGUAGCCGGCCUGAGAGGGUGGACGGCCACAUUGGGACUGGGUUACGGCCCAGACUCCUACGGGGGGCAGCAGUGGGGAAUUUUGCCCAAUGGGCGCAAGCCUUAUGCAGCGACGCCGGGUGGGGGAUGACGGCCUUCGGUUUGUAAACUCCUUUCGCUAGGGACGAAGCUUUUUGUGGCGGUACCUAGAUAAGAAGCCCCGGCUAACUACGU
rnacentral:rRNA from 1 species